rnacentral:lncRNA from 1 species
AUUGAAUUGAGACUUGAAGGUUGAUUAAUCAAGUUCCUCUGAGGGUUCAGGAAAUAGAAGUACAUUUGGUCAAAUAAAUCUUAGAAUACAAACAGAGUAAAAUUUCCCCAUGUAACCAAAUACAUUUUUUGAAGAGCAUUCAUUUAGGGAGAUGUUGUGUCUUGCACUGUUUGUUCAUCCUUGAUUCUGGAUCUAGUAGAGAUGAAAGUUGUCCU